AACGAACGCUAUCGGUAUGCUUAACACAUGCAAGUCGGACGGACUAAUUAGGGCUUGCUCCAAUUAGUUAGUGGCAGACGGGUGAGUAACCCGUGGGAAUCUGCCCAUCAGUACGGAAUAACUUUUAGAAAUAAAAGCUAAUACCGUAUAUUCUCUACAGAGGAAAGAGUUAUCGCUGAUGGAUGAGCACGCGUCAGAUUAGGUAGUUGGUGAGGUAACGGCUCACCAAGCCGACGAUCUGUAGCUGGUCUGAGAGGAUGAUCAGCCACACUGGGACUGAGACACGGCCCAGACUCAUACGGGAGGCAGCAGUGGGGAAUAUUGGACAAUGGGCGAAAGUCUGAUCCAGCAAUAGCGAGUGAGUGAUAAAGGCCCUAGGGUUGUAAAGCUCUUUUAGCAAGGAAGAUAAUGACGUUACUUGCAGAAAAAGCCCCGGCUAACUCCGUG
rnacentral:rRNA from 1 species